rnacentral:rRNA from 1 species
GUAGGGGGCAAGCGUUAUCCGGAUUUACUGGGUGUAAAGGGAGCGUAGGCGGCGGAGCAAGUCAGAAGUGAAAGCCCGGGGCUCAACCCCGGGACGGCUUUUGAAACUGCCCUGCUUGAUUUCAGGAGAGGUAAGCGGAAUUCCUAGUGUAGCGGUGAAAUGCGUAGAUAUUAGGAGGAACACCAGUGGCGAAGGCGGCUUACUGGACUGACAAUGACGCUGAGGCUCGAAAGCGUGGGGAGCAAACAGGAUUAGAUAUCCUGGUAGUCCACACCGUAAACGAUGAUUACUAGGUGUUGGAGGAUUGACCCCUUCAGUGCCGCAGUUAACACAAUAAGUAAUCCACCUGGGGAGU